UCCCUUGUAGCUCAGUCGGUAAAGAAUCUGCCUGCAGUGCAGGAAACCCGGGUUCAAUCCCUGGGUUGGGAA
rnacentral:tRNA from 1 species